GGAGCUGUGAGCUGGGGGGACUUUCAGAGUCGCUCUGCAUUAAGAUGGAAAAAAGAAGCUUGGAGAAGGGGAAAUGACUUUACCCAGCUAAGAAUAUGGCAAAGCUGAGCCAACUAGUCAAGUUUUCUGACCCCAAAUCCUGUAUUUCCCAUGACUCAUCUUGUGGAAGGCUGAGAUGCGGAAAUUGAGACUCAAAGAGGUUGAGCAGCAAUUCCGUGAGCUGAAACUUAAGCCCAGAUGCAUGUGAUUCCAGAGGCAGGUCUGCUUCAGGGGACCCCCAAUCUAAGACAGAUAUCCCCAAUUUCACAUGAAGAGACUGAGGCAGCUGGAGGCAAAGCAGCUUGUACAAGACCCCACAAGAAGAGGAGGAGUUGCUUUCUUGAACUGCUGUGGUUUUACCCACAGUCACCGGACCGUGCUGCCGCCCUGGUGGGAGGAUGUGUCUGCCUGCACAGGUUGAACAAUCUCAAGACACCUUGCUGGAAUUGGCAGAACAUUGAGCUCAUUCGGUCACUACCAGGGCUAUCAGGCACAGAGGAUGAGGCAGUCCUGCCCUGCCCUCUAGAACCGAAAGUCUGGACAGGGAGUGGCAGUUAAAUGUGGGGCAGAAUGAGAUCAAUGUCUCCAAGGGGUAACCCUGUCAUCCUCUCCCUUGGAUCUUCUCUGGGAGAGCUGCAGGACAUGAGCGAUCACUCUUUCUUUUCAGAUGGGUAAACUGAGGCUCAGAGAGGAGAUGGACUUGCCCCAGGCCACACGGCUUAUACCUGGCAGAACUGAGUCUGUCCCAGGGCUCUUUGAGCACCUGGGGAUGCAGAAGCUGGCGGGGUGGGAGGUGGCGGGGACUGUGGAAGGCUUCGUGGCUCUCAUGGGCACUCCAGCUCACUGUCUUUACUGCCACAGCCACUGCUUCUACAUUUGCUAUCUCAUUGGAUCAUGGCGCCUUGAACAAAAGUGUCCUUACUCAUUAUCUAAUUGAACUCCCAUUUUACAGGUGGGAAAAUUAAGACCCAGAGAAGGAACUUCCCAGAGAGCUAUCCAGUGAGCCAAGUCAGAGUUAGGAGCAGGAGCCUCAAAUUCCCAGGAAAGCAGCACGGUCCUCGAGUUCCCCCAAAAGCCAGACGGCAUCUUUGACACCUGACUCCCAGGGGCCAGUCCUGGAGAGGACACCUGGCCUGGAGCCAACCUUCCUCUCCUCGCUGCCAAAGCUCUGCUCUCUGGGUUCUGGCACUGUCUGAAAAUUCCUCCGUUGGUCUGCUCUCGGCAGAGCAUAGAUUAUCACUCUUGUGCUAAUUAUUUUUAUGAUUAAAAGAUGAUAAAUUAUUAAACAAAGUCUGAAAAAUGUGCCAAGAUCUGCUCUGAGGCUGGGCCUGAGAAGUUGCCCCCUUGGCGUCCACGUUAAUUAAUAAAUGAGACUCUCCGUGGAGAGGAGCCACAGCUGGUAUAUCUGGCAGCCAGGCAGGAGCUGGCGGAGGCCAGAUGCCAUGCAGGUGGGGAGGAAGGGACUCCCUGGGAGUGCCCAGCCUGGGAUUUGGUAACAGAGUCCCCUCCCUCUCUGCUCCCAGCCUAGGACUCAGCGGAGAGCCCCUUGGUACCAUCCGAACAUCUGGCCUCUGGAAGAGGCCUAGGAUUUCAAGCUGAGAAGCUCCAGCUGAUACUUUAAUGCUGUUCCCCUCUCCAAAUGCAGACUUGGGAGCACCCCAAGUGUCUAAAGGAAGGCCGGAGACCAGGAUUCAAAUCUCUGCGAGCCCAUUUCUCCUUGGGUAACUUUUGGGUAGGUCACUCAAUGAGACGCCAAGCCUCAGUUUCCUCAUCUGUAAAAUGGGUAGAAAUGACAUCUAUUUUUGCAAGGGUAUUGAGAGUGUUAAAUAGGAUAAUGUCUAUCAAGAGCACUCAGCUCCCAGCAGAUGGUCAAAAAAUGUUAGUUGGGCUGACUUGAAGCUUGGGUUUUUUGCUGUGCUGCCAUAACUAGCUGUGAAACAUUGGUCAGGCAGAUUUACCUUUCUGAGCCUCAGUUUCUUUAUCUGUAAAAUGGGAAUGAGAACUCCCAAAUCUUAGGAUCAAAGGGAAAACUAUAUGUGAAGUGUCUAACAAAGAGUAAGUACUCAAUUAAUGGUGGCUAUUUUAUCAUAAUUGUUUAUUACAGCGCCAACACACUGAAGUUUCAACAAGUGGGUAUUCCUCCUUCACCAUGGGCACUUCUUCCUGCAUCCUUUGCUGGUUCUCCUCCCUCCCCACCUUACUCCUUGCAGCGCCCUGGGCUCAGGCCUCCAUGUCUUUCUUCCUUACACUCUCUCCCUUGUGAGCUCAUCCAUCUGUAUGCUGAUGGCUUCCACAUUUCUAAUGCUAGCCUCGACCCUCUUCCCAGAACUCCAGACUCCUACAAGCAGUUGCCCAUUCAAACUCUCCCCUUGGGUGUUUAAUAGAUAUAUCAGAUCUAAUAUGUCUAAUAAUGCAUCUCAAAUGGAAUUCCUCAUCUUCCCCUCUGCAAACCUGUUCCCCACCGCCCCUACAGUCUUCCCCACUUGGUUAAUGAUGGCUCCAUCCUUCUGGUGACACCUUGGAGUCAUCCUUGAUUCUGCUAUUUCUUUCACUUCAAAUACCUAAACCAUCAGGAAACCCGGACAGCUCCACCUUCCACCUCUGUUAGAACCUCAGCACCUAGCCAUCCCCCAUCACCUCCCCCACUCCCACCACCCUAGCAUAAGGCACCAUCACAUCUUACCUGGACUCUUGCAGUAGCCUACUAAUUGCUGUCCCUGCUGCGGUACUUGACCCCUAUAGUAAUGCUCUACAUAGCUGCCAGGAUGAUCCCUUUAAAACACAAACACUAGACCCAGUCACACCUGCUUAUAAUCCUCCAAGAGGCAAAGUCUUUGCCAAGGCCACAAGGCCCUGUACUACCUGAACCUCCCCGCUUGCUAAGACCUCCCUCUCUUACUCUGUGCCAGCCACGCCUACCUUGGUGCUUUCCGUGAACACACCAGGGGCACACUCCCACCUUGGAUCUUCAUACUGGCUGUUCACUCUUCUCAUUCCUCACCUCCCUCAGACCUCUGCUCAGAGGUCACCUUUGCUGUGAGGCUUACCUUGACUGUCCCAUUUAAAAGUGCACCCCGACAUUCUGCAUGGUGGCUUCCCUCUUCCAUUGUGCAUGUCCUCUUCUUACAUACUGGAGUUUCUUGAGCCUUGUGUUUGCUGUCUUCUCCCUCCAGCAUUAUCCGUUUUGUGCCCUGCAGCAUUCCCACAGCAACCAGCACAGCCCUUGUGUGGUGGAGGUGCCGGGCAUACUGAGAUGCAUCUGUCAGCAUCUGCCUCCUGGUACCUUGGGCCUGCAUGUCUGGCAGGCAGGUAGAAGAACACGCUGGCCAUUUCAAUGUUAAGACAAAGAGGUAGAGAAGGCUGGAUGAAGGAGGUGAUGACUGAACCAUAUCCUGAGGCAGCUGGGGUUUCCAGGAAGAGGACAGAGAGAAGGACAUUCAGGUGGAGGAGCCAGCAGAUGUGACAACCAGUGCACAGAGAGAUUAACUAACUUGCCGUCCAGUGGGCAUGUGGUGGAGCCCAGGGUGAAACCCAGGCAGUCUCU
rnacentral:lncRNA from 1 species